UCCAAGUUUCACAGGACAAAAAAAACAGCAUUAACAUGAAACCAGAGCUGCAAUUUGCUCACAGAUUGAUGGUAUCAGUUUGCAUCCAGGGGUUAAAACCAGGAACCCAGAACUGCAAUUUUUGAAGUCUCACCCAUGGAGCGGAUGCACUAGCUGGGACCUUUUCCCAAAAAGCCUAUUUGGAGUGGCUUAUUUUGUUAACAAAUCCUUUGAACCUGAGACGAAAGUGAAAACUUUUGGCAAGACACUAGUUGGUGCUGAGUAGGAUCUGUGAGACAAAACACCCCUCUUCAAGAAGAAAGAUUAAUGUUGAUGAAGCUUUUAUUCCCAGAUGGGAAGAUUCACCUUAUUGCUCGUUAGCUAAUGAAUGAGGUUUAUGGAAGGUGGACCCCAAGAAAAGAGUUUUGUGCACAGUACAAGUUUUGAGACAUUGAACUGCCUUUGAUAAUGGAUUUUAAAUUUCUUUACCUCUGAAAGUGAUCUGUUCUAUGUUUAUCUUCAAAAUCUUUUGUAACUUUGGCUAAGUAAAUAACUGUUUCACAGUGACUUAUAUGAUCCUAUCUGAGUGUUAUAAACCCUUUUGAUAGUUUUGGCAAAACUUCCUAAAAUUAAAUUCUCA